rnacentral:tRNA from 1 species
AAGGGAGACCUAAUUCAGGUAGGAGACGAAAAAAAGUAGUCCCUACCAAGAAUCAAUCCCAAAAGGUCGGAGCGAGGCAAAAUUGGCUUUCAAACUAGGUUCUGGGUUCACAUAAGACCUGAAUCAGGAACAAGGGCUAUUAGCUCAGGUGGUUAGAGCGCACCCCUGAUAAGGGUGAGGUCCCUGGUUCGAGUCCAGGAUGGCCCACCUGCACAGGUGGCAAAAACAAAGAAAAAAAGCUCCGAAUUAGCACCUUAUCUUACUCAUAUAGUAAGAGAGAAUGCUGGCUCUGAGUUCAGAGUCCAGAGGAACCUUGAAAACUGCAUAGAGCUAGGUGAAAAAGCCAAAAAAGAAGACCGCAAGGUCAAGCUAAUAAGGGCUAACGGUGGAUACCUAGGCAC